rnacentral:rRNA from 1 species
AACAGGAUUAGAUACCCUGGUAGUCCACGCCGUAAACGAUGUCGACUUGGAGGUUGUUCCCUUGAGGAGUGGCUUCCGGAGCUAGCGCGUUAAGUCGACCGCCUGGGGAGUACGGCCGCAAGGUUAAAACUCAAAUGAAUUGACGGGGGCCCGCACAAGCGGUGGAGCAUGUGGUUUAAUUCGAUGCAACGCGAAGAACCUUACCUACUCUUGGCAUCCAGAGAACUUAGCAGAGAUGCUUUGGUGCCUUCGGGAACUCUGAGACAGGUGCUGCAUGGCUGUCGUCAGCUCGUGUUGUGAAAUGUUGGGUUAAGUCCCGCAACGAGCGCAACCCUUAUCCUUUGUUGCCAGCGAUUCGGUCGGGAACUCAAAGGAGACUGCCGGUGAUAAACCGGAGGAAGGUGGGGAUGACGUCAAGUCAUCAUGGCCCUUACGAGUAGGGCUACACACGUGCUACAAUGGCGCAUACAAAGAGAAGCGACCUCGCGAGAGCAAGCGGACCUCAUAAAGUGCGUCGUAGUCCGGAUCGGAGUCUGCAACUCGACUCCGUGAAGUCGGAAUCGCUAGUAAUCGUGGAUCAGAAUGCCACGGUGAAUACGUUCCCGGGCCUUGUACCCACCGCCCGUCACACCAUGGGAGUGGGUUGCAAAAGAAGUAGGUAGCUUAACCUUCGGGAGGGCGCUUACCACUUUGUGAUUCAUGACUGGGGUGAAGUCGUAACAAGGUAACC